UACGAAGGGGGCUAGCGUUGCUCGGAAUUACUGGGCGUAAAGGGCGCGUAGGCGGAUCGUUAAGUCAGAGGUGAAAGCCCAGGGCUCAACCCUGGAAUUGUCUUUGAUACUGGCGAUCUUGAGUACGGGAGAGGUGUGUGGAACUCCGAGUGUAGAGGUGAAAUUCGUAGAUAUUCGGAAGAACACCAGUGGCGAAGGCGACACACUGGCCCGUUACUGACGCUGAGGAGCGAAAGCGUGGGGAGCGAAACAGG
rnacentral:rRNA from 1 species